GGCCGUGUGGUCUAGUGGUAUGAUACUCGCUUUGGGCGAAGAUUGGGUUCACUCAAUCUAAUAUCCACAAGCAUGCGAGUGGCCCAGGGUUCAAUUCCCUGCUCGGCCC
rfam:Wickerhamomyces ciferrii, NRRL Y-1031 F-60-10, WGS project CAIF01000000 data, contig: 00123